rnacentral:rRNA from 1 species
GAUGAACGCUGACAGAAUGCUUAACACAUGCAAGUCUUUGGCGAAGCUGUGCUUGCACCGCCUAGCCAAGGCGGACGGGUGAGUAACGCGUAAGGAACUUGCCCUGCAGUCAGGGAUAACAGACGGAAACGACUGAUAAGACCUGGUAAAGUCAGGCGGACUCAUGUCCAGCCUGAUGAAAAGAGAUGCUGCAGGAGAGCCUUGCGUCCUAUUAGCUUGUUGGUGGGGUAACGGCCCACCAAGGCGAUGAUCAGUAGCCGGCCUGAGAGGGUGGACGGCCACAAGGGGACUGAGAGACGGCCCUUACUCCUACGGGAGGCAGCAGUGGGGAAUAUUGGACAAUGGGGGCAACCCUGAUCCAGCAAUUCUGUGUGCACGAUGAAGGUUUUCGGAUUGUAAAGUGCUUUCAGCAGGGAAGAAAAAAAUGACGGUACCUGCAGAAGAAGCGACGGCUAAAUACGUG